GAGUUUGAUCCUGGCUCAGAUUGAACGCUGGCGGCAUGCCUUACACAUGCAAGUCGAACGGCAGCACGGGAGCUUGCUCCUGGUGGCGAGUGGCGAACGGGUGAGUAAUGCAUCGGAACGUAUCCUGGAGUGGGGGAUAACGUAGCGAAAGUUACGCUAAUACCGCAUAUUCUGUGAGCAGGAAAGCGGGGGGACCUUCGGGCCUCGCGCUCUUGGAGCGGCCGAUGUCGGAUUAGCUAGUUGGUGAGGUAAAGGCUCACCAAGGUGACGAUCCGUAGCAGGUCUGAGAGGAUGAUCUGCCACACUGGAACUGAGACACGGUCCAGACUCCUACGGGAGGCAGCAGUGGGGAAUUUUGGACAAUGGGGGCAACCCUGAUCCAGCCAUGCCGCGUGAGUGAAGAAGGCCU
rnacentral:rRNA from 1 species